CCUAAACAUCACAGUUUACAGUGUGGAAAGUACAGAAGUCAUAAGAAAUCAGAUACCAUCUGCAAGGCUGAUAAAAUAGAUGCUAUAAUUUAUUUGGUCCUGGGUACAUAUGCACGUUUGUUAUAUACGUAAACUGCUUGUCGCCAGGGUUUGGUGUACAGAUUAUUUCAUCACCAAGGAAAACCAUAUGGAUAAGAUUAUAAACACAAGAGAGGAAACAAAGGAUUAAGUAAGCUGAAGAAAUGCCAAAUUUCUUACUUCAAGGAAAAGGAACUAAAAAACAUUUUGUCCAGCUAUUUUCUUCUGAUAUGAAGCACAUGAGUUAAAGUUCUCAACUUGAGGUACAUCUCCAUGGUUACAAGAGGGCAAGCUGCCUCUUUGUGCCCAGAAGAGCUGGGAUUGUUUUCACUUGAAAUUGAAUAGCACCCAAGCUGCAUUUGCAGAAUGACAAACUCAAUUAUUUACCUGCCAGAGGAUUCCAGGGAAUGGCACUAGGCUGGUCCAACAGGGAUGUCCAGGUAUAAGAAAAAGGAAACCAAAUAAGAAGAGAGGACAAUAGAUUCAACAUGGAUAAAUCAGAGAUAUGUGAGAAUGAAUAAAAAGAACAAAAACUAAACUAAAGAAACAGUGAAUUUGUCUUCUAUUUUACUCUUAAAAAGAAGUUCUGGUCAUGAAUAUAAGAGAGUCAGCAGCCAAAAUGAAAAUCCAGCAGUUCCUUAAGGAAGUAAAAAUUUUCAACCAUUUCUAAUGUAUACGUAAA
rnacentral:lncRNA from 10 species